rnacentral:lncRNA from 10 species
AUCUGACCCAGCCCCUAUUCAAGAUGGAGACGCCCUGGUUCAGACGCCUCUGACAGAUGCUCCAAGAUGAUGUGAAGCAAAUUUCACGACUAACGAUGGCCCGAAGGCUCCUUCCCUCCACGGGAUUCUGCUCCAGCCACAGCAGAGACUAUUUUGCACACCUUCCAGACAUUGCUGCCCCAUUCCAGGUACCUCAAGGUCAAUAAACACAACAUGCAAAUCUCAUCUUAUACCCAUCAGGAGUAUAAACAAGACAGUUGAAUGCACACUGUUAUCAAACACUUUGUCUCUUACUGUUUUUUAAUUUUAUUUUUUUGCUGCUUUCAAUUGCUGUUUUAAGAACACAUUAUAUCUCCUUUAGGGAAUAAAUUCAACACAAUGAGAAAAUUAAGUACAUUUUCACGGUUUUAGGGUUUUGAAUUCUGUGUCAUAACAUAGAUUUGCUAUCUAAUCAAAGGAAGUAAUGAUGAUAACAUUAAUAGCAGCACCACUAACAACAAUAGUACUCACAGCACCACUGGUUGCAAAGAGUUUGGGAAAAACUUACAAGCCUCUUAAAACUGAGUUAGUGGAUUUUAGCUACUCACCAGCUUUUUACUUUUCUUAUAUUCUUAUAUGGGUGCUAACUCUUAAGGACAAUACUACUUAACAACUAGUUACAAAAAGUAAUGCCCUUCUCUUAGGGAAAAGGUGAUAACAACAUUUUUGUAAAGUAUCCUAAAUCCAAAGACUCUUUCUGUAACCUUCCUUUCCCCCUUAGUGUCUCAAUAUCAAGUUGCAAUAGAAGCUUGCUGUUAGUGGAUCUGCACUUUAAAAUGGUACUUAAUAUGAAUACAUAAUCAGAAGGGAUUUUUUUACUUGUUUUGUGAAAAUGAACUGCAAGUCAACUAAGAUAUUUAAAACAAGGAAAAAGAAAGUCUUCUUCUACAGUGCCUCCAGGGUGAGUCACAGACUUAAUCACCUGCUAUAUUUACCUCAUGAAAGAAUCAAUGCCACUGCUGCAAGUCUUUCAUGGUAAAGAUUUUGAAAGCCAAGAGCUAAAAAUCAAUCCUACUACAUAUGCAUCAUUCAUAUGUUCAAAACAGCUCUAUAAGAAAUCCUGUUGUGUAGUAAAUCCUAUUAAUUUCUCCAUGACAUUGAUACCAUAAAUUUACCUGCAACCUCAUUCUUACCUAUAUGCAUUUGUCAUUGUUAAAUGAAUACCCUUAAGAAACUUCAUAUUACCACAGAUACAAAAAGAGGGAUUUUUUAAAAAGUAUUCUGCAAUCUUAAUUCCCCAUGUUCAAAGGGCUCAACAUAAGCAAUUAUUGUGAAUCCUAAUUAAAUACUGCAAAACUCAUCCUCUUUGUCUACAUCAGUCUUCUCAUUACAAGAAGGGAAAAGAACUUGUUCUUGACUUUUCUGGCCUGUGUACUAUCACUCUUGAACAUAGGCAUGAUAUUGAAUCUUUCGGAAAGCACUGUGCUUCUAUGCAGUGAUAAGCCAUUAGGAUGUGGAGGGAAACAUUCAUUUUUCCAGAUAUUACUGCACAUUCAUGACAGAUUUUGAAUUCCCUCAGCAGAUACAAGUGCCCUUCUUGUCUCAUGGACUCAAUCAGGAGAUAUGAAGAUUGACAACUGAUUGGCAAAAGUGAAGUCACUGUGUGACCUGUCCUGAAAAGAUGGUGGCUGCAUCUAGAAACAGUGACGUGUUUGGGGAACAAUGGAGUAGAGUCAGAGACGCACCUACUAAGACAUUUUGGCUGCUGGGCACCUGAACAUGAGCAAUGUGAAGCUUCCGGUGCGUGUUUCCAUAGAGAGUUUUCUGAUAAUGUGUCAGUUAUUUUUAGCCACAAAACACUAUAAGACAACUGAGCAUGCUUUUCAGUGGCUAACAACUAUAAGCAUUAAUUUUGCUCAUGCACUAAGGGAUGACUGAGCCCUUCUGCUGGCCUGGGCCACGCCUAACUGAUUGCAGCUGGGCUAGCUCUUGCAUCAGCUGGUGGAUUGGCCUGGGGCAGGCUGGCCUGGGGUAGCUUUGGUUGGGAUGAUUUUUUUCUGCUCUGUGGUCUUUCAUCUUGUGAUAGGCUAGUCUCGGCUUUUCCUACAGUGGAGGCAGGGGUCUGAGGGAAGAAGUGGAAACACUUGAGGCCUGGGAGGCCUACUCUGAUAAUAAGCCAAGUCACCUCUGCUGCAUUCUAUUGGUUAGAGCAAGCCACAGCUCAGCCCAGACACAAGAGUUGGGCAACACCCUCUACUUCUUGAUGAGAGGAGCUAACAUGUAACUUUGCAAAUGGAAUAAAUAUAGAAAAAGGUGAAAAUUCAGGGCCAUUUUUGCAAUCAGUCCAUUACAGAUGGUUUAUUAUUGAGAAACAUCUAUACAUCCAUAUCCAUAUAAAAUUACAUAUCUGUAUCUAUUUUUGAUGUUAUAGUUGACCCCUGAUCCAGAGAAGAAAGGGAUAGAGUGUAAUAAUCUCUGCUUUCUGGUGGAUCUCCUGUUGUUGAGUAAAAGGGAAUAUGAUCAGGAAAUCACAAAUAUCAAAAGAAUGGAAUGGAUAACUGACAAAUGAUUUAUAUUCCAUAUGCGUAUGUCACAUUUAAUAAAACAAAAUUAUGGCUGAGCACAGUGGCUCACACCUAUAAUCUUAGCACUUUGGAGGCCGAGGAGGGCGGAUCACAAGGUCAAGUUUAAGACCAGCCUGAACGACAUGGUGAAACCCCGUCUCUACUAAAAAUACAAAAAUUAGCUGGGCAUGGUGGUGCAUACCUGUAAUCCUAGCUAUUCAGGAGGCUGAGGCAGGAGAAUCGCUUGAACCCAGGAGGCAGAGGUUGCAGUGAGCUAAGAUCGUGCCACUGCACUCCAGCCUGGGUGACAGAGUGAGACUCCAUCUCAAACAAACAAACAAACAAACACCCCACAAAACUACAUAAUAGGAAAAUGUACUUGAUAAUAUUAAACUUUUAAGCAGUCCUUUAGAAAUGGCUGAGAAAAGUGAUUAGGAAAAGGGUGAAAACCUCCAACACUUAGGGAAAAUCCUGUAGCUAUCAGCGGCAGAAAGCAAUCCUUAAUUUUCCGUAUGUCCCAGAGGGAAUGAGAAAGUCAACUGGACUGAGGCUGU